AGAAAGAAAAGAAGAAAAAAGUGCAAACUGUCUGGUCUUGUCAGAGUGUGAUGGGGUGCAUGCUCUACCACUUCCACAGUACCGUCGACCAACUGUGGAAGUCUAGGGAUGCAUAGUCCCAGCAGGUACAGACAUUUUUGGGGAAGGCAACAAACAUUUUAAUUAAGCAAGUAGCUCUAGACCAUAGUCUUUUUAUUGUCAGAACACUUUACGGUGGACCAGUACAGAACAUAAAUUGUUCCAUAAAAUAACUCUAGCAGCCCAAAGAGUUGAACACUGCCAUACCAUCUAUUGAUAUGGUACUCCUGAAACUUAAAGAUAAUGGACAAGGCGACCGCUCAGGGGGACGAUGAAAACCUUUGCAAAGGUAUUGAAACCAUGGGAAACUUACAUUGGCAUCCCCUAGGGCGGCUCUGGUUGUUUUGUGACAUGGUGGGCUGAGGUCAGGGUAUGAGAGAGCCUAGGAGUCACUCUGUUACAUGACGACUUUAUCUUCUUUUCCUCCUUUUCUUUGAUUUCUAUUGCAAUCUUUAUUAUAU